UGGGGAAUAUUGCACAAUAGGCGCAAGCCUGAUGCAGCCAUGCCGCGUGUAUGAAGAAGGCCUUCGGGUUGUAAAGUACUUUCAGCGGGGAGGAAGGCGAUAAGGUUAAUAACCUUGUCGAUUGACGUUACCCGCAGAAGAAGCACCGGCUAACUCCGUGCCAGCAGCCGCGGUAAUACGGAGGGUGCAAGCGUUAAUCGGAAUUACUGGGCGUAAAGCGCACGCAGGCGGCCUGUCAAGUCGGAUGUGAAAUCCCCGGGCUCAACCUGGGAACUGCAUUCGAAACUGGCAGGCUAGAGUCUUGUAGAGGGGGGUAGAAUUCCAGGUGUAGCGGUGAAAUGCGUAGAGAUCUGGAGGAAUACCGGUGGCGAAGGCGGCCCCCUGGACAAAGACUGACGCUCAGGUGCGAAAGCGUGGGGAGCAAACA
rnacentral:rRNA from 1 species